ACUUAAAUAGCUUAUACAAGAGCAUAGUAUUGAAGAUACUAAGGAAACUUAGAUUUUUAGGUA
rnacentral:tRNA from 1 species